CCUACGGGAGGCUGCAGUGAGGAAUAUUGGUCAAUGGGCGCGAGCCUGAACCAGCCAAGUCGCGUGAGGGAUGAAUGCACUACGUGUUGUAAACUUCUUUUGUAAAGGAAUAAAGUCGGGCACGAGUGCCUUUUUGUGUGUACUUUAUGAAUAAGCAUCGGCUAACUCCGUGCCAGCAGCCGCGGUAAUACGGAGGAUCCGAGCGUUAUCCGGAUUUAUUGGGUUUAAAGGGUGCGUAGGCGGGCUGUUAAGUCAGCGGUAAAAGCCCGGGGCUCAACCCCGGCGAGCCGUUGAAACUGGCUGUCUUGAGAUGUCGAGAGGUAGGCGGAAUGCGCAGUGUAGCGGUGAAAUGCUUAGAUAUUGCGCAGAACCCCGAUUGCGAAGGCAGCAUACCGGCGGCGAUCUGACGCUGAGGCACGAAAGCGUGGGUAUCGAACAGGAUUAGAUACCCCAGUAGUC
rnacentral:rRNA from 1 species